rnacentral:rRNA from 1 species
CCUACGGGUGGCAGCAGUAGGGAAUAUUGCUCAAUGGGGGAUACCCUGACCCAGCAACGCCGCGUGGAGGAUGAAGGUUUUCGGAUUGUCAACUCCUUUUGUUAGAGAAUAUCCUUGCGUUAUCUAACGUCUAAGCACCUGCUAAAUCCGUUCCAGCAGCCGCGGUAAUACGAAGGCUGCACGCGGUACUCGGAAUCACUAGGCGUUAAGUGAGCUUAGGCGGGAUAUCAAGUCAGAUGUGAAAGUCUAUGGCUUAACCAUAGAAAUGCAGUUGAACUUGUUAUUCUAGAGUAUGGGAGAGGUAGGUGGAAUUCUUGGUGUAGCGGUAAAAGCCUUAGAGAGCAAGAAGAACACGGAUUGCGAAGGCGACCUGCUAGAACGUAACUGACGCUGAUGCUCGAAAGUGUGGGUAGCAAACAGGAGUAGAUACCCGGGUAGUC